ACGUACGUGUGCGAGUAUGUGCGCGUGUACGUUCGUAUUGUAUGUGCUUGUCCGCGUGUAUACAUGCGUGCAUGUGUGUCCGUACCCGAAUGCAGCCGAGUGGUCACAGCUCAACACCAUUGCCCGCGAAUGUGACGACACAGUUUUCUACGUACCAUACGCUGGCCAUCACCCCAUGAACAACACAGUUCAGUGGAGCGAAGCCAACACACAAUGUGGCGGCAAACUUAUUGAGAGAGCUGACUUUAGCAAGGGAAACUGCUUGCGGCAUUUCGUUAAGUCUGCCAACCAGAUGUUUGGAGUUAAGUCUUACAAGGUCUGGUCCCAGAAAGCGGACCAUUCAAUUGGUUACCUUGGCGACUACGAGUCCCUCGUCCAAGAGGUGGCGUCCGUGAGGCUGUUGCCGCUCUGCAAGAAUAAGAAGCCGCAGAGAAUGCACCACCACUAACAUGCCAUGCAUGUAACCGCCGGUAGUGCCGUGGCCAACGACGACAGGAUGUGCUCAUCAGCGUCCGGACCCGUGAACGGACGUCAUCGCCCAAGGAGCCGAGCAGCUGCUCAUUUGGUGUCCUGUUCGCUUUGCCGCACGUCCUUCUGUUGUCCCCGUUUAUGCUGGCAGGGUUCUUUGUUUUCCAUUCCUCUUUCUUUCUAGGUUGUUCUGAUGCAUUACCAUUUUCGUUCCGGUGCUGCACCAGUAGAAUAUUGUUUGGUAAAUAACUACCAUCUCAUUCUGGUACAAUAUGUCAUAAUUAUGUGUGUCUAGUUCUGUAAGCAAACAAUCGUUUCCUCUCCAUUGCAUUUCUUUAGGUUCUAUCCGGUAUAGUUUGGUGUUGUUGGCGGUUAUUUUC